rnacentral:rRNA from 1 species
AUACGUAGGGGACGAGCGUUAUCCGGAUUUACUGGGUGUAAAGGGCGUGUAGGCGGUUUAGCAAGUCAGAAGUGAAAUUCCCGGGCUUAACUUGGGCGCUGCUUCUGAAACUGCUUUACUUGAGUGCUGGAGAGGAUAGUGGAAUUCCUAGUGUAGCGGUAAAAUGCGCAGAUAUUAGGAGGAACACCGGUGGCGAAGGCGGCUAUCUGGACAGUAACUGACGCUGAGGCGCGAAAGCACGGGGAGCAAACAGGAUUAGAUACCCUGGUAGUCCGUGCCGUAAACGAUGAAUACUAGGUGUAGGGGGUAUCGACUCCCUCUGUGCCGCAGUUAACACAUUAAGUAUUCCACCUGGGGAGUACGGCCGCAAGGUUGAAACUCAAAUGAAUUGGCGGGG